rfam:Erinaceus europaeus unplaced genomic scaffold scaffold00432, whole genome shotgun sequence
GGAUGUGAGGGCAAUCUGGCUGUGACAUCUGUCACCCCAUUGAUCACCAGGGUUGAUUUGGCUGAUCUGGCUGGCUAGGCAGGUGUCCCUUUCCUCCCUCACUGCUCCAUGUGUCCUUCCUGAAAUUGAGUGCUUGGUGUAAGAGGAUGGCCUUCCCUGAACAGAGACCAGAGAAGGAUUGCUCUUUCUUAGUGGGUAUACAAGUAGCUGUGCUCUUCUGCUAGAACCUCCAAACAAGCUCUCAAUGUCCAUUAUGCUAUCUACCCCUGCCCAAGAUUUUUAAGGAAGACACUUUACUCAUAAGAAACAAAGGGUAAAAUAAUUCACCUCACAUCUAUUUGCAAUUAUUUUCACUUGAGCUUUGCUAUGU